ACACUUGUGGAACAGUUUUCCAUGUGGGAUGCUGAAAAACGUCUAAUUAUUACUUUAGACUGGGAGGUCUCUACUCUAGUGCAUUGGUGCAAUUGUUACAAUGGUCACUUUACUUUAUUCCAUCUGUAUGCACACAUUUUGACUUUGGGCAUAAUAUAAUCAGUUUUCAUUUUUCCGUUGUCUUCAUUUGAAAAGAUGCAUGUAUAUAGAUAUAUAUUUGCACAACUUGCACAAAAGUUUGGUUCCCAGGAAUUCAAAUAUUUCACACAACUGCAGUUGAGUUAAGGGGAGAAAAAAAGCACUAAAAAAAUGCUCAGGGGAAUGCCCUGUGUGGCUCAGACCUUUUUUCAUUCCACGCUGCAGUAUUGGCUUAAAUUCAACAAAGAUUGUAGAUGUUUUUCACAACUGCCCAUUUGCAAAUUCUUUUGACACAUUUGAUUUUAGUUCAUGUGCGAUUGCUCUAUUAAUUUGCACAUUUUUAACUUUGUUUUUUGUCUUCCUAUCACAGAAGGCAAAGCGGAGGAGAGGGGAAAGAAGUCAGAUGAGGAGGAAAGCUCUGGGUCUGAGUCAGACGGAAAUGGAGGAAGGGUGAAAAAGGGGAAAGGAAAAGGGAAAAACAGAGGCAAGGGAGGACAAGGACAAGGACAAGGACAAGGACAAGGAAAAGGACGUGGACAAGAAAUGCGUGGUGGUGGUCCGUGAUGAAGGAAUCUUUUAAUUACCUUUCUGUGAUAAUGAUUGUACAGAAUUAAAUAUAUCUGUAAUAAACUAAUCCAGAAAUAG